rnacentral:rRNA from 1 species
UACAGAGGGUGCGAGCGUUAAUCGGAAUUACUGGGCGUAAAGCGCACGUAGGCGGCUUGGUAUGUCGGGUGUGAAAUCCCCCGGGCUCAACCUGGGAACUGCAUCCGAAACUGCCUUGCUCGAGUAUGGGAGAGGGAAGUGGAAUUUCCGGUGUAGCGGUGAAAUGCGUAGAGAUGCGGAGGAACACCGAUGGCGAAGGCAGCCCCCCUGGGCUGACACUGACGCUCAGGCACGAAAGCGUGGGGAGCAAACAGG